rnacentral:rRNA from 1 species
UACGAAGGGGGCUAGCGUUGCUCGGAAUUACUGGGCGUAAAGCGCACGUAGGCGGCUUCUUAAGUCGAUGGUGAAAUCCUGGAGCUCAACUCCAGAACUGCCUUCGAUACUGGGGAGCUCGAGUUCGGGAGAGGUGAGUGGGAACUGCGAGUGUAGAGGUGAAAUUCGUAGAUAUUCGCAAGAACACCAGUGGCGAAGGCGGCUCACUGGCCCGAUACUGACGCUGAGGUGCGAAAGCGUGGGGAGCAAACAGGG